AAUCCUUACAGGUUCUUGGCUUCUCUAGCCUCUGCUUCUUCUCACUUUUCAUGCAUAUAAAGUGAUUGGGGUUACGUGACUCUGAAAAAAGUCAACAUGUAAGGAGCUUCCAGAUGGCCUCCUCACUUCCUAAAGGAGGACAAACCCAAAUAGCAAUAGGACUGAAGUAGCUGUCCAGAGGCGGCGGUGUGGCUGAUGCAAGGUGCGGGUUAGAAUGCCAGCUGGAUAUCUGGAGCUCAAGCAGCCAUCUUGCACCUUGAAGCAAUAUGCUAAGGAAGG